rnacentral:lncRNA from 1 species
GCGAGUGGAGACAAUGGUGCUAUGGUGCUCAUGGUCAAAGGUGGCACUGCCAAAGUCUACCACCCGCACAGCUGUGCUCUUCACACUGCGCUCAUCUCGCUUCUAGGAGCAGAGGAGAAAGAGGAUGAACCUCUGCACCCAGACUGAGAUUCCACCAGUAUUCUCUACAUUGCUUCUGAGCCUUAAAAAACGUACUGUGAUCUCCUCCCUGGCCUUACAAGCCCUGGGAAAUUUCCUGUUUUACAGCUUCCACCACAUCCAGCAUAAUACUUUUAGAAGUAGGGGAGCAAAAGGAUUAAGAAAUGAUUAUAGAACAGCGUGCACAUCUGUAAGCAACUGAAGACUACACUCAAGUGCUGGAUAUAUAGUUAUUCUGAAAACAUGUAACAUGUAGCAAAUAGGUUUUUCUGAAAAAAUGUAACAUGUAGCAAAGGAGUUUCUCUAAAAAUAUGUAACAUGUAGCAAAGGGGUCAAAGGAGGGAGAGCUUCUUUAGGUCUGAGAUCUCCAUUAUCUCGGUCUGUAUGUGUCAGCUUGUUAUCAUGGAGGACUGUAGGGGAGAAGGCCAGGUCAGGCUUGGUGCAGGUGGCCAGAGCUAACUGGUAUCAGCUGACCCCAGGCCUGGUUACCUAGGGCAAAGCCAGUGAGGAGACAGGUCCAGAAUCACUAGGGCUGCUUUCUGCUCUACGUCUAAAUGGAAUGCCUGGUCUAAGAAGCUCUGCUCUUUCUAAUAUAAGAUACAUAUGUAGCUCAACUGAUGUAAAAAAAAAAAAAAGUUUGCUUUGAGUUGUAGUGUGUACACACUUUGACAUGUGUCUAGCUGGCAUAAUGUUAA